GGAGAGGUGGCCGAGUGGUUGAAGGCGCACGCUUGGAAAGCGUGUGUACCAGCGAUGGUACCGCAGGUUCGAAUCCUGUUCUCUCCGCCA
rnacentral:tRNA from 1 species